UGGAAAUAGCUCAGUCGGUAAAGCAUGAGAUUCUUAAUCUCAGGGUUGUGGGUUUGAGCCCCACGAAAGAUUGGGCAAAA